rnacentral:lncRNA from 1 species
AAAUAUGCCACAACAAUGAAUAAGUGUAGCUGAUAUUCUAAAGGGAGCCUAGUGAGGAUCAACCGCACCAUGACCGUCUUUGUGAACAUCUAAAACAAAACAAAAAUUCUUAUUUAUAACCCUGACAUCAUUUACUUUUAUCUUCAAGUGUUAUUCUCAAUUUGGGAGAACAUGCCAAAUAGACUCUAAGAUAGAAGAGACGUGCAAAAUAAUUUAGUCCAGGAGUAAUUAUUUAUGCUGUUUUGUG